UGACGGUACCUGACUAAGAAGCACCGGCUAAAUACGUGCCAGCAGCCGCGGUAAUACGUAUGGUGCAAGCGUUAUCCGGAUUUACUGGGUGUAAAGGGAGUGUAGGCGGAACUGCAAGUCAGAUGUGAAAACUGAGGGCUCAACCCUCAGCCUGCAUUUGAAACUGUAGUCCUUGAGUGUCGGAGAGGUUAACGGAACUCCUAGUGUAGCGGUGAAAUGCGUAGAUAUUAGGAAGAACACCAGUGGCGAAGGCGGUUAACUGGACGAUAACUGACGCUAAUGCGCGAAAGCGUGGGUAGCAAACAGGAUUAGAUACCCUG
rnacentral:rRNA from 1 species